rnacentral:rRNA from 1 species
AACGAACGCUGGCGGCAGGCCUAACACAUGCAAGUCGAGCGGACCCUUCGGGGUUAGCGGCGGACGGGUGAGUAACGCGUGGGAAUAUGCCCUUCUCUACGGAAUAGUCCUGGGAAACUGGGGUAAUACCGUAUACGCCCUUUGGGGGAAAGAUUUAUCGGGGAAGGAUUAGCCCGCGUUGGAUUAGGUAGUUGGUGGGGUAAUGGCCUACCAAGCCGACGAUCCAUAGCUGGUUUGAGAGGAUGAUCAGCCACACUGGGACUGAGACACGGCCCAGACUCCUACGGGAGGCAGCAGUGGGGAAUCUUAGACAAUGGGGGCAACCCUGAUCUAGCCAUGCCGCGUGAGUGAUGAAGGCCUUAGGGUUGUAAAGCUCUUUCAGCUGGGAAGAUAAUGACGGUACCAGCAGAAGAAGCCCCGGCUAACUCCGUG